rnacentral:rRNA from 1 species
GACGAACGCUGGCGGCGUGCCUAAUACAUGCAAGUAGAACGCUGAAGGAGGAGCUUGCUCUUCUGGAUGAGUUGCGAACGGGUGAGUAACGCGUAGGUAACCUGCCUGGUAGUGGGGGAUAACUAUUGGAAACGAUAGCUAAUACCGCAUAAUAACAGUUGUUGCAUGACAACUGUUUGAAAGGUGCAAUUGCAUCACUACCAGAUGGACCUGCGUUGUAUUAGCUAGUUGGUGGGGUAACGGCUCACCAAGGCGACGAUACAUAGCCGACCUGAGAGGGUGAUCGGCCACACUGGGACUGAGACACGGCCCGGACUCCUACGGGAGGCAGCAGUAGGGAAUCUUCGGCAAUGGACGAAAGUCUGACCGAGCAACGCCGCGUGAGUGAAGAAGGUUUUCGGAUCGUAAAGCUCUGUUGUAAGAGAAGAACGAGUGUGAGAGUGGAAAGUUCACACUG